UACGAAGGGGGCUAGCGUUGUUCGGAUUUAUUGGGCGUAAAGAGCGUGUAGGCGGCUUCACAGGUCCGCUGUGAAAACUCGAGGCUCAACCUCGAGCUGUCGGUGGAAACCGUGUGGCUAGAGUCCGGAAGAGGAGAGUGGAAUUCCCGGUGUAGCGGUGAAAUGCGCAGAUAUCGGGAAGAACACCCGUGGCGAAGGCGGCUCUCUGGGACGGUACUGACGCUGAGACGCGAAAGCGUGGGGAGCGAACAGG
rnacentral:rRNA from 1 species